CAGGGUCUUACUCUGUCGCCUAGGCUGGAGUGCACUGGUAUCACCACAGCUCACUGCAGCUUUGACCUCCCCAGCUGGGGUGAUCCUCCCACCUCACCCUUCCAGGCCUUCAUGUGUGAUGUUCCCCUCCCAGUGUCCAUGUGGUCUCAUUGUUCAACUCGCACUUAUGAGUGAGAACAUGCAGUGUCUGGUUUUCUGUUCCUGUAUUAAUUUGCUGAUAAUGAUGGCUUCCAGCUUCAUCCAUGUCCCUGCAAAGGACAUGAUCUCAUUCUUUUUUAUGGCUGCAUAGUAUUCCAUGUUGUAUACGUGCCACAUUUAAAUGCCUAUCAAUCACAGACUGUGUAUUUGCUUUUCUAACUCUGCCCUUUAGUCUUUGUUUCUAUUUUUUGCCAUAGUAUAUUUUAAGAAUUUUAUUUGUGUGUCAUGUGUCACUUAAUAACAGGAAUACAUCCUGAGAAAUGUGUAAAUGGAUAAUUUUACCUUUGUGUAAACCUGUAUAACAUGUUACUGUACUGAAUACUAUAGACAAUACUAACACACUGUAAGUAUUUGUGUAUCUAAAUGUAGAAAAUUUAGUAAAAAUACAAUACUAUAACCUUAUGAGAACAUCAUUAUAUGUGAU
rnacentral:lncRNA from 10 species